rnacentral:rRNA from 1 species
CGGGAAGGUAAGAAACAACAGGGCUUGCCUCAGUAACGGCGAGUGAAGCGGCAAAAGCUCAAAUUUUAAAGCUGACAUCUUCGGUGUCCGCGUUGUAAUUUUGUGAGGCAUCUCCGGGUAGGGCGCCGGCCUAAGUUCCUUGGAACAGGACGUCACAGAGGGUGAGAAUCCCGUGCUUGGCUGGCUGUCCCCGUCCAUGUGAGGUGUCUUCGACGAGUCGAGUUGUUUGGGAAUGCAGCUCAAAAUGGGUGGUAAAUUUCAUCUAAAGCUAAAUAUUGGUGGGAGACCGAUAGCGCACAAGUAGAGUGAUCGAAAGAUGAAAAGCACUUUGAAAAUAGAGUUAAAAAGUACGUGAAAUUGUUGAAAGGGAAGCGCUUGAGAUCAGACUUCGGUAAGGGGUGAUCAGCCGUCCUUCUGGGCGGUGCACUUGCCCCCCUCCGGGCCAGCAUCGGUUGAGGCGGCGGGAUAAAGGUCCCGGGAAUGUGGCUCCUUCACGGGAGUGUUAUAGCCCGGGUGAAUGCCGCCAGCUUCGACCGAGGACCGCACCCGCAAGGGUUAGGAUGCUUGGCAUAAUGGUCUUCAGCGACCCGUCUUGAAACACGGACCAAGGAGUCUAACAUCUAUGCGAGUGUUUGGGUGUCAAACCCUUGCGCGAAAUGAAAGUGAACGGAGGUGGGAACCCGCAAGGGUGCACCAUCGACCGGUCCCGAAGUCUUCUGAAGGAUCUGAGUAGGAGCAUAGCUGUUGGGACCCGAAAGAUGGUGAACUAUGCCUGAAUAGGGUGAAGCCAGAGGAAACUCUGGUGGAGGCUCGCAGCGGUUCUGACGUGCAAAUCGAUCGUCAAAUUUGGGUAUAGGGGCGAAAGACUAAUCGAACCAUUCUUAUUGGCUCC